GUGAACGCUGGCGGUCGGCCUAACCCAUGCAAGUCGAACGGCAGCACAGUAAGAGCUUGCUCUUACGGGUGGCGAGUGGCGGACGGGUGAGGAAUACAUCGGAAUCUACUUUUUCGUGGGGGAUAACGUAGGGAAACUUACGCUAAUACCGCAUACGACCUACGGGUGAAAGCAGGGGAUCUUCGGACCUUGCGCGAUUGAAUGAGCCGAUGUCGGAUUAGCUAGUUGGCGGGGUAAAGGCCCACCAAGGCGACGAUCCGUAGCUGGUCUGAGAGGAUGAUCAGCCACACUGGAACUGAGACACGGUCCAGACUCCUACGGGAGGCAGCAGUGGGGAAUAUUGGACAAUGGGCGCAAGCCUGAUCCAGCCAUACCGCGUGGGUGAAGAAGGCCUUCGGGUUGUAAAGCCCUUUUGUUGGGAAAGAAAAGCAGCAGGUUAAUACCCCGCUGUUCUGACGGUACCCAAAGAAUAAGCACCGGCUAACUUCGUG
rnacentral:rRNA from 1 species